rnacentral:tRNA from 1 species
AUUUUAAUAGCUUAUAUAGAGCAUAAUAUUGAAGAUAUUAAGGAAACAAAAUGUUUUAAAGUA